UUCUUCACUAGCCGAAAGUAAACAAAAGAAAAAGAAAGAAAACCUAGCUACAUUCGAUCAUAUAAAAGCUUGAUUGAGGUUAGUUCUUUGUUCGGUUUUUAAUAAUUUUUACGUUUUUGAGAUCGUUGCUUUGUGUUCUUCAAAACCCAUGUUUUAAUUUUGCGAAUUGUUGAUGAUUUUGAAAUGUGCCAUUGAUGAAUGCUUGGACUUUGUGAUAGUUGAUGAUGAAAAAUGAAAGAUAUGUGAUAGAUUAAUAUGUUUUGUAUUGGAAUUUUUAGUGAAAUUGAGUAAAUAGGGCUAAAUUGUGAAAUUAAAUUUUUGGGGGGACUAAAAUGUGAAAUAAAUGCAAUGUGUGGACUUGUAUGAGAACCAUGAAUAUUCGGCACUUGUGUGGUAUGGGCAAAUUUUGUGUAAAUUGUGUUUUAUGCAAUAGGGAGUAAAUUGCAAAAAGUGUAAAUAUUAGGGGCAAAAUAAUAAUUUGCCAAAUUAUGUGUUUUUGGACUAAAUUGAAUGUGUUAAUAAAUAAAUUAUCUUAUUUUGAGUAUAUUUAGAUCGAGAACCAAAGAAAUCGAAGUUAGAUCGGAGAAAAGCCAAAUUAGUCGAAUAAUCGUUCGACUUCGAUUUUCCAUCGUCUGAGGUAAGUCUACUAGUUAUUUAACUUAUUUAAAUCAGUAUAUAUGUAUGUAUAUCUAUUUUAUUUUUGUUGAUCUAUAAUUAAAAAUAAUUUGAUUGAAUAAGUUUGAAAUAUAAAUGGUAUAUAUGUAUAUACCAUAUUCGAAUAUAUGAAUAUAUGCCUAUAUAAGUCUUUGAAUUAAUUGUAAGUACGAAUGGUAUAUAGAAAAAUAUAUAUACAUUGUUUGAAUAUUAAACAUGUAUCAAUAUGUUUAUGUUAUUGAAAAUAUUUGAUGAUAUGAGGAUUAUAAAUGUAAACACAAAAUUCGAAUAUAUAUGUACAUUCAUGUAUAAUCUUUAAGUUUGAUUAAAAGUAUGUAUAUUGCAUUUGCAUAGAUAAUUUCGAAUAAGUAUAUAUAUGUGUGUGUGAGUGAGUUGAAACAUAUACGUAUAUAUGUUUGAAUAGGUUUUGAACAUAUUUCAAGGUGUGAAUGUUAAAUAUAUAUAUGGGUAGUACUGCAUAUAUAUGGAUAUACAUGUAAAAGUUAUUUUCGAAUAGGUGGAUAUAUAUAUAUAAAUAUAUAUAUGUUAAGUUCUUGUAUUGAAUUUAGUUAAGUAAUAAUAUAUAAAUAUAUAUGUGUGUUUAUAAAUUUAUAAGUGUUUGAAUUGAAUUGAAGACAUGAUUUAUAAACUUUUAAUUGAUUGGACAUGAACUACAAUGAACAUGUGUUUGUUAUAAAGAAUUAUUUGAGGAAAUAUUUUGUAUAUGUGAAAUUGAAAUUUGUGAUCUGAAUCAGGCUAUAAACCUAGCAGGCUAAGUGCCGGUGAUCUGAAUCAAAGGAACGAAGUUAUUAGCUUAGAUUAUUUUAAUAUGUUCGAAUGUGAAAUAUAUAUUAUUUAAGUAUAAUGGAAGUUAAAAAUUAUGAUGGUAGUAGUUGAAUCUAUAAUAUAAAGAUAUAUAUAUAUAAAUGUAUUCGGUUGAAUCAUUGAAUUAUCAAGUUUAGAAUUGGUGAUCUGAAUCAGGCUAUAAGCCUAGCAGGCUAAGUGCCGAUGAUCUGAAUCAGGCUAUAAGCCUAGCAGGCUAAGUGCCAGUGAUCUGAAUCAGGCUAUAAGCCUAGCAGGCUAAGUGCCGGUGAUCUGAAUCAGGCUAUAAGCCUAGUAGGCUAAAUGCCGGUGAUAUGAAUCAGGUUAUAAACCUAGCAGGCUAAGUGCCGGUGAUCUGAAUAUGUUAAAUUAAGUGAAUAUAUGCAUUUGAUAUAUAUAUAUAAAUAUAUAAAUGAUUUUGGUUUAUUUUAACUUAAUGAUGGAAUAAGUAUAAGUAUAUAUAUAUGAAUUUUUGCUCAUGAUUUACUAAGCUUAAAUAGCUUAACGUGUGUUGUAUUUGUUUACCUUUGUUUUAUAGAUUUUGAAGUCACAUUACGAGCUCGGGGAUCGUCAGCAUAGUCUAUCACACUAUCGACCGUCUUUGGUAUUUUAUAUAUUUUGUAUUCGAACCUAUGGCAUGUAUAGUCUAGUUAAUAUGUUUAAUUUUGGGAUAUGUGAAUAUGAGCCAUGCGAAAAUGGCUUACUUUAUUUUGACCUAUUUUGGUGUCUAUGCAUAUAGUUUUAAAGGUCAUUAAAAUGGAGAUUUUAAUUAUACAUAUUUGAUUUUAG
rnacentral:lncRNA from 1 species